AGAAAACAAAACUGACGCUCUUAAGUUGUCCAUCAGAGAAAACCUCAACUAGCUCAUCUAUAGUUCCCAUGAUAGUCAGUACUGGUGCACAACAGCUUCUCUCUAUCGCAGAAAUCUCAUCAGCACCUUCUAUGGGAGUCCUCUCUGUUGACGCACAGAUGGCCAUAUUAGAUGAAUUCCAAGACUUUUGUGUGCUUGAAUGCUCAGGAUGCAAAUAGAAGAAGCGUACAAAGGAUAGAAAGGAUUUUGAUUGUCCAAAAUGCAAGCGCACAACAGCCUUAUUGCCUCGCUGUAGCUUCCAAAUUGAUCUUCUUGACAAUACUGGUACAACCACAACAUCUAUCUCUGUUGAAUUAGGAGAAAAAUUGAUGUCCAUGACAGCAGAAGACAUAUUUGAAAUAACUUGCACUAAGCGACAAUCAUUGUCUCUUAAUCAUGUCCAUGAGAUGUUGUCGGACAGAUUAUUCGAAAUUCAGCUAAGGAAGUCAUCUUGGGCCAGCUCAAAUACCACACAUACAACUUUGUCCGUUCUUUCCUACAUGGGAAAAAAGCAUGCUCCACACACCACCACUGAUAGGACUUCUAAAAAGAUAAAACCUCUGGAAAUAAGUGAGGUAGAAGUCAUGGCAACAACUACUGCAGCUGGUUCUUCAAAUGCACCGCCAAAGUUUGAACCACCCACACCAGCCAAAAAGGUCUAAAAGGAACUCCGUCACACCAUUUUGUGGCUUUUGCUUAUGAUAGGGACAAUCUAAUGACUGACUCUCCCUGUGCUCUACUUUCUUUCAUGACAAAGAUUACCUAUGGCCAAGCAAACUGUAGUGUUCUCUAAAUAUGAUGCUGCAACAUGUAGUAUAUUAUUUUGCUUAUAUUCCAUUAGUUAGUAUGUGC